UACGUAGGGUGCGAGCGUUGUCCGGAAUUAUUGGGCGUAAAGAGCUCGUAGGCGGUCUGUCGCGUCGAUCGUGAAAACUUGGGGCUUAACCCUGAGCUUGCGGUCGAUACGGGCAUGACUGGAGUUCGGCAGGGGAGACUGGAAUUCCUGGUGUAGCGGUGAAAUGCGCAGAUAUCAGGAGGAACACCGGUGGCGAAGGCGGGUCUCUGGGCCGAUACUGACGCUGAGGCGCGAAAGCUAGGGUAGCGAACAGG
rnacentral:rRNA from 1 species